GCUUUGGCUCCGGGAAAAUGCAGGGCUCUGUCCACUCGCAGGGUGGCUGGGUUUCCUCAGGUCCUGCUGGGAGGGGCCCCCAGGGAGAAAAGCGAUGAGGAAACAGUGCGGGGGAUGCUGCCUGCUGGGGGCUGCCUGCAGGAUGAGGGAGGUCCGUCCUGGAGGGCCCAGCAGAGGAAGAGCUGGGGGAGGAAAAUUCUGACUUGGAGUUAGUCCUGUGCAUGGCGUGGAAGGAGCCCUGUUCUGGUUUUGGUUUUCACAGUUGUGAUAUUCCGUUUCCCAGGUUUUUUCUUAGGGUGACGGUCCUUUCACUGCCAUAGAUCCAUCAUCUAAGACGACUCGGCCUGCUCUGCGCGGGAGCGGGUGCGGCCUGCAUUCUCCCAGUUGGCCGGCAGAGGGCGACAAGCCGCCUCUUCCCAGGGCGGGCCCCGCGUGUUUGGGCCGCAGGCUUGGUCCAGGGCACAGCUGACAGGCAUUAGGUCUCCUCGGGGCGGGCCAGUGCUUUGGCUUUGGGAAAAUGCAGGAGUCUGUCCUUUGGGAAGGCAGCUAAGCUUCCUCAGGACCUGCUGGGAGGCGCCUCCCUGGGAGGAAAACUUGAGGAAACUGUGGGGAGAUGCUGCUGGCUGGGGGCUGCCGGCAGGAGAAGGGAGGAGGUGCAAAUGCCCACAACCAGCACAAGAACGCUAGGGGAGAAAAUUGACUUGGAGUUAGCCUUGUGUGCGGUGCGGAAGGAGCUGUGUUUUGGGCUUGUUUUUUUUUUUUUUGGCGGGGGGUGGGUUGUGGUGUUUCGCUUUCUGGGUUUCAUCUUAGACUGAUGGCGCUUUAAUGGAGGUCUCUCCAGUUUGCUGUUAAAAGAAUGGACCACAUGUCUGUUGCUUCCUCGAGUGCCUUGAUGCCUCUUUUUCGACCCAUGAGUAUAUUCCUGGAAUAUCCUUUCAAUUCCAAUCAUCUUCAAAAGGUGUCCCAGACUCGAGAAAGUAGAGUUCCUGCUCCCUCUCAUGCUCCAGUAAUCCGAAUUGACCUUCCCAAGGAGGUGGCACUUGUAAGUGGCCUGACUUUGCUACUCUGAGUCCCGGUUCCGGUACUCAUACGUCCCGGCUCUGGUCCACACAGAGGCCUGGCUCCGGACCUCAACGCUGAGAGCUGGCUCUGCUCCUCACUGAAGUCCAGCUGCACCCCUGCCUGAGUCUCGGCUCAGCUCAGCACGCCAGGUCCUCUCCGCACUGAGACCCGGCAAGGCUCUGCCCCUCACUGGGCCUGGCUGUGGUCCUCGGUGAGGCCUGGCCCCACUGCGCAAUCACGUGUGCCUCCCUUGCUCCCUGAGGUCCGGCUCCCUCCUCGGUGAGGACAGCUCUGCUCCACACGGGCCUGGUUACGGUCCUCACAGAGGCCAGGCUGUCUUCUCACUGCAGUUCAGCUGUGCUCCUCCUUGAGGCAUGACUUUGCUCCUCUGAGGCCUGGCUCUGCUCUCCACUGAGAACCAGCUCCAGUCCACAAUGAGGACCGGCUCUGGUCCCCACUGAGGCCUGUCUCCCGUCCUCACUGAGGUUCCACUCCGGUCCUGUGAUGUGCUCUGGGGCCCGGGUAGGGUCCGCACUGAGGCCAGGCUCCGCUCGGCUCCGCUCCGUGAGACCCAGCUCCUCCUGCAGAGGCCUGGCUCCGCUCAGCACUGCCGCACAGCUCCGCCCUGCAAUGGGCCUGGCUGUGGUUCUCGGUGAGGCCACGGUAUCGUCCUCAGUGAAGCACAGCUCCAGUCCACGCUCAGGUCCUUAGUGAGCCCCGGCUCUGGUCCUCACAGAGAUUUGGCUUGCUUCUAACCGAGGUUUGGUUCACCUCCGUGAGGCCUGACUGCUACUCUGAGGCCAGGCUCCCCUCCUCACUUGGGGCCAGCGCCACUCCUCAGGUAGGCCUGGCUCUGCUCCGCACCGGGGCCUGGCUCCAGCACUGAGUCCUGCUCUGGGCCUCACUGAGAUUCAGCUCCAGCACUGAGUCCUGCUCUGGGCCUCACUGUGGUUCAGCUACCCUCCUCACUGAAGCCCAACGUUCCUUCACUGAGAGUGAAGGUUCACCUCCACUCUUCACUCAGGCCCAGCCUGGUCCUCCUUGAGGACGGAAUUUGGUUCUCUGAGGCAAGACUCCAUUCUACACUGAGGCCCAGCUACACUCCACAUAGAGACUGGACUCGGGUCCUCUCUGAGGUCUGGCUCUGCUCCUCAGUGAGACCCAGCUUCUCUCUGACUGAGGACUGGCUCCACCCACACUGGGGUCUGGCUAGGGUUCUCACUGAGCCCAGCUGGCUUCUCACUGAGGUUCUCUUCUCCCUCUUCCUGAGGAUUGACUUGACUACUCUGAGUCCCGGCUCUGGACCUCACUGAGGCCAGGCUCCACUCCACACCGGGGCAUGGCUACAACCUCAGUGAGUUCCGGCUCGCUUCUCACUGAGGUUCCAUUCUCUUCCUGAGGCCUGACUUUGCUACUCUGAGUCCUGGCUGUAAGGCGAGCAUGGAGAAAAGGAGAGUGAGCCGGACAGUCAGGCAGAGAAAUAUUUAUUAUAGGAAGAAAGAAAGUGGUUUUAGAGAGAAACCAGUGCUCUCUUGUUACAGCCAACCCUUCUUAUACCGUAUCGAUGGGAAAUUGUGCCCCAGAGGGGUUUAUCCUUAGCCCACAGCUGGAGUCCUGUGGUCACAUAGUCAAAGGGGUCUCAUGGUCGGGUGGUCAUGUAGUCUUGAGAAACUGGCACCAGCAGGGAAAAACAGGGUAUCGCCUUAAGGAAAAAACAGAAAGCCGUCAGGGCAACGUGGCCACCGCGAUUUCACCCCUUGUGUCAGGUUACCACCAUGGGCCAUAUUUUAACUACAGCUAUGAGCCCCUUGAGAGCCCUAACACUGGCUCUGGUCCUCAACAAGGUCCAGCUCCUCUCCUCACUGAGGCCUGGCUCACUUCUCACCACGGUUCACCUCUGAUCCUCCCUGAGACCUGACUUUGCUUCUCUGAGGCCCAGCUCUGGUCCUCCUCGAUGCCAGACUUUGCUUCUCUGAGGCAAGGCUCCAUUCUGCACUGAGGCCUGGCUCCACUCCACACAGAGGAUGGCUCCAGUGCUCAGUGAGACCGGCUCCUCUCUGCCCUGCACUGGGGCCCGGCUAUGGUCCUCAGUGAAGCCCGGCUCCACGCCUCACUGAGGGUCGGCUCUUGUCCCCAGGGAGGCCAGGCUUCGGUCCACACAGAACCUGGCUCACUUCUCACUGAGGUUCUGUUCUCCUCCUCCCUGAGGCCUGAAUUUACUUCCCUGAGGCCUGGCUCCUCUAGGGACUGAGAACCGGCUCCGCUCUCCACCGAGGCUCCUAUCCGCUCCUCACUGGGACCCACCUCCCUCAGCACUGAGGCCCGGGCCUCACAGAGGCCAGGCUCGCUUCUCACUACCUUUCACCUGCUUCUCCCUGAGGCCUGACUGCUUCACCGAGUCCCGUCUCCGCUACUCAGGAAGGUUCGGCUCUGGUCCUCCCUGAGGCCCAGGUCACACGUUACAGAGGCUCAUCUCUGCUCCUCCCUGAGGCCCGACUUCGCCUGUCUUCAGCCCGGCUCCGCUCCACAAUGAGGCCCGGCUCUGCUCCUCACCGAGGCCCAGUCUGGUCCUAAGGCUCGCCUCCGGCCUUCACUGAGUCCUCGCUCUGCUCCUCGCUUAGGCCCAACUUUGCUUCUCUGAGGCCUGGCUUGCUUCUCACUGAGGUUCAGCUCUGCCCCUCUGAGUCCAGACUUUGCUACUCUGAGGCCCUGCUCCGCCCCACUCCACACUGAGGCCUGGCUCACUUCUCACUGAGGUUCCGCUCUCCUCCUUGAAGCCUGACUCUGCUUCUCUGAGGCAAGUCUCCGCCCCUCACAGAGGCCCAGCUGUACUUCCCUGAGGCCCUGCUCCACUCGUCGGUAUGGCCCGGCUCUGCUCCUCACUGAUUCCCAGCUCUGGUCCUCAUUCUGACCUGAUUCUGUUCGUCUCUCAGACCUGACUAUAACAGGAGUCUCCAUCAAUAUGGAACUUAAAACCACAACCUUCACAUACUUUAAAAUUGUUAUAUUAAAAAUAAAGGUAAUUUUUGGCAACAAUGUAUAGAAAUUGGAACUUUUAAAUGUUAGUUGUCGAAAUGUGAUAUGGCUCAAUCUACUUACGUAAAACUUUGGCAUCUUAUAAAAAAUAUAAAAAUGCAGUUAUCAUCAGUUUCAAAAAGUCUGCUCUUACAUAUAUACCCAAAGAAUUUUAAAUAACUGUUGAAAUAAAACUUGUAUACCAACACUCACAGCAGCGCUGCUCUCGAUGCCCCUCUGAAAGAAGAAUCAAAACGCCCAUCAUUGGGUUAUGGGAUAAGGAAAGUAGGGUAGCUCCG
ensembl:lncRNA